AAGGACAUAAACAAAAGGGAAAGAUCCGAGUCCACCUGAGUAUAGAUAGUUCACUGGACAAAUGUGGUCAAGGGAUGAUAUUUUCCAUAGCCCAAAACCCCUGAAGGGCUGCUUUUUUGUUGACAAGGAAGAACUGAGGGCUCUGACCUUUGGCAGUUUAAACCAAUAUGCCAGCUGUGACAACUGAGAAUCCAGCACCCAGUACUCCUCCAGUAGCAAAGAGAGCUGAAGUGAAUCUCUAGCAAGUAACAUUGGUCAAAGUACAAAAUGUGCUUGUCAUAUACCAGAUGAGACUGUCCUCUCUGUCCCCAAUAAGCUUUUCCCUGGAUCUGGACAAUGCUCCCAUGUGACAGCUGUCGAUUGCUACUAGUUUGUUUGGGG